UGGGGAAUAUUGCACAAUGGAGGGAACUUUGAUGCAGCAACGCCGCGUUCGGGAUGACGGCCUUCGGGUUGUAAACCGCUUUCAUCCAUGACGAAGCUUUUGUGACGGUAGUGGUAGAAGAAGCACCGGCUAACUACGUGCCAGCAGCCGCGGUGAUACGUAGGGUGCGAGCGUUGUCCGGUAUUAUUGGGCGUAAAGAGCUUGUAGGCGGUUUGUCGCGUCGAUAGUGUAAACACGCAGCUUAACUGUGUGCCUGCUGUCGAUACGGGCUGACUAGAGGAGGGUAGGGGAGAAUGGAAUUCCCGGUGGAGCGGUGGAAUGCGCAGAUGUCGGGAGGAACACAAGUGGCGAAGGCGGUUCUCUGGACCUUUCCUGACGCUGAGAAGCGAAAGCGUGGGUAGCAAACAGG
rnacentral:rRNA from 1 species